rnacentral:lncRNA from 1 species
ACAAGUACCUAGCUUUUAUAUUAGAAUUCUUCCAGGAAUUACUAAAACUAAAAUUACUAUCUUUGAGAAAGCAUAAACUAAAGUCUAGGUAAGAGAAAGGCAUGAUAUAAAGUUGAGCUACUGUUUAUCUUGUUCCUACUACACCAAGUUCUAGAGAUUUAUUUUUGAAAACUUACAAAUCACAUGAUGAGUUCCUAGCAUAACAAACUACCUACCAAAGCCAUACUUGCUAUAACAUCUUUACUAUAUUCACAUUGAGUUUGAUCGAGCUGUGUUGACCCUUAGGAGCUUUUCAUGUGGUUAAAUUAAGAUAUUCACUUGCACGCAUCUACCACAGCAUUUAUUAUCAAUCAUUAAAAUUGCUAAAAAUAUUAUCACUCACUGUCCCGAAUAUUGUUAUUCUCUCUCUCUAAAAAGAUUCAAUGCAGAAGAGGCAUGGGUUAUGCAAAAAAAAUAUAUACGAGGAAAUAAAAAGGGGCAAGUGCCCGGAACCUCGAUAAAAGAAAAAGAGUGAGACGAGAGGUAAAAAUGGACAAGUGUCCGAAGUAGAAUUAGGGGUACAAAGAUGCCCACUUGAGCGGAAAAAAUGGACAAGUGUCCGACAGUAGAAUUAGGGGUAUCCACUACCCACCUGAAAAAAAAACAAGAGAGAAGAAAAAUAGCCCAUUUUCUCCCAAAGCAAAGAUCAAAGAAGAGGAGAGAUAGCAAUAUGAGGAGCAAUGAGAAGUAAAUUUUAUUAUCACUUAUGCAUUUUCACCAUCACUAUCAUUUACUCCAUCACACAUGCACAUCUUGAUUUAAUUAUAUGCUGAGUUCCUUUGGAUCCAUGGCUCGAUUAGACAACAUAUGUAUGAGCUGUUUGCACUCCUAUGAGCUCCACUUAAUUAUUCCAGUAGCUAUAGGUAAGUGACAUUAUGGUAAGGAUCCACAAAUACCACAUAUAGAGAGACUUGAGAGAAUCAUUGCUGGGAACUCUGAGUUUUAUUUUGAAAACUUAUGAAAAACUCUAGAACAAAGGUGAAGUAUAGACAGGAGGGAUAGUGCUUGAAUUAACUAUUUUGUCUUUCGAUUACUUAAGAUUUAAGUGCAGGUACUAAACUUCAUAACACUUCACUUUAAUCUAGAAGAAUUUUUAUGUAAAAGCAUGUGUGCCUGUCAGGAAAGAAAACAUCGAAGCAACUCCUGAUCCGUCUGAGUUUAGCUAUUUGCUUAGGGACGAGCAAAGGGUAAGCUUGGGGGAGUUUGUUGACGGUCCUUAAGUACUAAAAUUAAUAAUCAAAUAAACAUGAAAAAGGAUCAAUAUGAAACAAACAUCUAGAGUUAGGGUUUUAUCUGAGAGAAUUCCACGAGUUUUGGUGUUUAUCUAUUUCUGCAGGGGUUUAUCAGAAAAUAGGGAGAGAAGGCCCACAUGUCAUGUAUACAACGAGAUAAUUACGUGCCGCGCAAUUUUACUCCAUCUAGAAGGAUCCAGAAGCCACGGGAACGAACGGGACGCGAUUCGGGCUCGGGGGCUGGGCGGCCGCCCACCCCCCUUGGGCGCCCGCCCAGGUGGAGAGUCCAAUCAGGACUCUGCUUCGGGACAAUCCUCCACCGACCUAAAGGAUCAAUCUAAACCAUACAAUCUAUGUCGGUUUGAUCCAAUGGCUCACGUUCACUUGAGGGGACUAUAAAACCAGAUCCCCUGGCCCCUGGAGGAGAGGAGGAGAAAUCAUUAUUCAGAGGUAGCCAUCAAAGUUAGGGUUUAGAGCUUCUCUCCCACAGAGAAUUAGAAUUAGCUACUCCCUAAUCCUUCAAGUUUAGAGGUUUGAUUAGAUAGCAAUUAGAGAAGUAGAGCACUACGCUCUGGAUUCGGAUCUUCGGUAAUAAAGAUUGGUAUUAUUCAUAUCUUUCUCUAAUUCUAUUGUUCUAAUUGCAUUAUGUCUCUAAUUAUUAUGUUCUUAGUUUGCUCUAGUUCUAUAUUUGAUAUAGUUCUAAUUGAUAAUGAGUUUAUGUAUAAGUUUGCAAAGCGCUUAGCUCUUGUCGCGAGGGAGUUAGGUGAUAGAUCACAUGUGAGCGUGGUGCUUAGAUGUUAUUUAUCUGCAAAUGUAUCCUAUUGGCCGAGUCGUGUGGUAGUUCGCGAUAGUGACAGCUUCGUUGAUUCUUAUAUAGUCCACCCUCCGUUGAUAGGACAGGCAGAACCGGUAUUGUGGAGUAAGUCAUGCGAUGUUCUGAUUUACUUUAUCAAUGUUCCUUAUACAUGAAUGAAGAGUCUUUUAUACUAUAUAUGAUCUUGUAGAUAACUAGAGUAGAUUAUGACUUAGUAGUUAGUAGAUGACUUAGAAUCCAUUCUCUAGCUAAUCCGACAUCACCUACAUAUAUGAGGAGUAGUCUAUUUUCUAAUCGCUGUGCUCUUUACCCCAUGAACUUAUACUUUAUUAUCAUUAUCUUUAUGGUUUACCCCCUGCUAAAGUAUGUGAUUGUGUGACGAGUUUCUCAUUAGUAAUCAUGUUCUUGCAAGUUUAUCUCUAGUCUAUGCCUUGAUAGAUUUUGCCCCCUUUGAUUUAAUUCCAUCUUCCUCAGAUCCCUAAGUAAAAUUAUAAAUAACGAUACCUGGAAUACUUAUCCUGGUGAAAUGCUACAAUGAGGUGUUUUAUCUGUGCGCUUGCGGAUAGAAUAGAUUAUUUUCUAGAGAGCCUUUAUAUUUAUAAAUACCUUUGUACACUCUGGCGCCAUGCUAGGGAUGAGAACCUAGUAUCUAAGUGGUGUUAGCUAGUGUCAACAAUUACAACAAAGUUGUAGGGAAUUUUAUGCAGAACAAUUCUUCUUUUUACUCCAACCCAUAAAAAGAUUUGUAAAAGCUUCAAAAAGCCUCAUUUAAGCUUUUUGGGGAAAUAAUUUCAAAAAAAAAAAGAAAACGGGGUAGGCACUGCUAGGCCAACCCGCCUCCCUUUCGGCCCAGCCAGAGAGCACGGCCCGGUUUCCACUCCCUCUCUCUCCCGUGCGCGGACGCCCGCUUUCGUCCACCCGACGCCGGCCACGUGGCGGCCGUACGUCGGCGUCGUGGACGCGCCGCGGCCGACCGGCCUUAACCUGGUCGGGACGCCGCCCCGCGCCCCCAGGCCACUCCAUUCUGUUCCCUCCCCGCUCCCCUCUUCUUCAUCCGCUCGUGAGUGCCGCAGCCGUAGCAGCUCCGCCGCAACGCCAUCGCCGGAGAGCUCCGCCGCUUACCGCCGGCCACACCAGUGACCUAUCCUCGGCGCCAAAACUACCACUGCACUCAUCUUCGCCGCGGUAAGCUUCUGCGCACGCUCUACCGAGGUGAGAGACCGCCGCACGCCGUGAAUCGCUCGCCGGAGUUUCCCCGACCUCAUCGGAGUGCUCGGUCACGUCGAACCUCGCUCGUUUCUGCCUCGCUUUGCUUGCUUCUGGGCGCGUUAGGUCCGUAGCUCGACGAGGAAGCCCCGACAGAACCCCCCGCGCGCUCUACCGCAACGGAGCGGCCUGGCCACGGCGAGCAGCGCCGCCGUGCCGCCAUGCAUGCUCGCGAGGGUGCUCCGGUCAUCUUCCGGCCGAUCCAAGGGCACCCUUGGGUGCGCCUCGCUGAUGGGAGCACGAUGGUGCUCACCCCGUGGCCGGAGACCUCACCGCCGACGAGAUCCGCUCGUCGGAGGUGCCCUCCCUCUCGAUCACGCUGACCAGUGGGGUCGGGGGCCGACUGUCAGUCGCAGGGGGGACCGAGAUGGGUAGAGAUCCGGGUGUAUUUAGUGUUUUUCAUCCCAAUUUCGAAUUGGUUUUUCAGAAAAUAAUUUACAGAAAAUAGUUUAAAUGAUAUAAAAUCCAUAUCUUGAGAUAUAUGGCUCCAAAAUGGAUGAAAUAAAUUUUGAUGUGUUCUAUAAUCUCAGAUCUAUAGUUUGCUGUGGCUGCAUGUCAUGUUUGAACAACUUUUCUGUACAAAUAUAUUUAAUCCAUGUUUUUGCUGAAAAUUGGAAAAUGCAUAGUAAUUAAAAUAUAGCUCAGAAAAAUAUGAAACUUGUUUUGUUGGCUCUGCAUGGAUGAUUAGGCUCUGGGAAAAAUAUGUUACACAUUAUUUGCUGUAUGAAUUAAUUUAUGGUGAUUUAAAUGCUUGCAUGGCAGUGGUUUAUGAUUUUUAAUAAAUAAUUGGAUCAUGCAAUUAAUCUGAAAAUUUUUGUGGGUAUUUCUUAUGUUAACAAGUUAAUUAUAAAAAUAUGAAAUCUGCUGUUUGACACUUAUACCACAGUAGGGUUAACAUACUUGCUUAUAUAGAUUAAUCUUGUGAUUUUUUAGCUCAAAAUAAAUGUCCAAAUAUUAUGAGAAAUUUAUGGUAGACUUUAUGGUUGACUAGUAGUCUCCUGUAAUUUUUGUGGAAUUUAUUGAUAAACAGACAUAUAUGCUACUUUUGUAGGACUAAAAGUGGAUAGAUAAAUUAAGAAUUGUUAUACAUAGAUUAAAUAAAGUAAGAGGAUGUUUGGUGUAUCUUUGAAGCAUCAUGUGAGCUUGCUGGUUAACCUUGAAGGCAACUUGUAGAAGAGAAUGUAAUAGAUGUUUAGUUCGAUUACAUGUUCUUAGCCUAUCCUGUCACUCCGAAGGGGUGGGGCCCGCGAGGGUUAGGAGUUGUUUCCAAUUACUGAACAUGGUGUUCAGGUAUGCGGGAAUCAGUGGAUGUGCGGGUAUCUUUCGGGUAGAGGGGUAGGUGGCAGGGUAGUGACAGCUCUGUCAUCCUUUGCAUUCCCCCACGAUCAGGUAUUCCGAUAGGAGUUAUGUAAAGUCUCUAUCGGCUGGGUAUCCAGCUGCGGGGAUCUCCCCUCACCUUAGGCUUAGUUCUAAAUCUAUUUAUUGCUAAUUAGAUGAUCCGCUAACAGUUUUUUGCAUAGUUCUAUGUGACCCAUGCCUGCUCAAGUAGAUUUAUUUCUUUAUUCUUUAUUUAUUAUUUCUCUUCUAUUUUAUCCUUAAGGUUGAUCCAAUGUGUGUCCACUAUCUUGAAUAUCUUUAUUCCUGUUUACUCUAUGUCUACCAUGCAUUCAAUAAGUAAUCAUGUUUACACCAUGUUUGAUCCCUUUGCCUUCCUAUGGGAAUUAUAAAUUCGACACCCUUGAAUACCACGGGUUGAAAUGCUACAAUGAUAGUUCUGUCCACUUGCAGUUAUAUUACUUCUUCAUUUAUGAACUAUCGACUGGUGUACCUAAGUACCAUUACUGAAGAUUGUAAUCCUUGUGCACUUUCAAGUGUAUUGCCACAGCUUUGCAUAUCGCAAGUAAGGAUGGUUAGGAAGGCCAAUCCGGCAUUCCUAAUUAUUGUUACCAGACUACACUGCUAAGGCCGGUGCCCUCGAGUUGCCUUGGGUUAUCUCUUUGAUGUAGCAAUAGUUACGGUAUGCCAACUGCCAAGCAUUUCUGGUGCCAGUGCUAAGGAUGGAUCUAUGGUCUAUUUUUAGUAGUGACGCUAAGAAAUGCCAACAAGCGUUUCUGGCGCCGCUGCCGGGGAAGGCAAAAAUCAUACUGGCAUAAACAUUGAUUGCAUAAUAAGCAUUGGUAGCCAUAGAUUAACGAGGAUAACUUUACUGUUUUCUUCCUCUUUUUAUUGGAAUGAAAACAGGAUAGUGUAUGAGCAGUUUCCACUUGCCGGCAAACUUCCACAGUGAUCCAGAAACACUCCAAGGAAGAGAAGGGUUCGUACCGUCUCUUCUUCUGCUACGCAAUCGGCAAGUGAAUCAACUGUUCCAGCACCAACCGCACCAAUCGGUAUGGCUAAGAGACUCCGUUACUAUUGUUGGCAUUUCUUAGCGUCACUACUAAAAAUAGAUCAUAAAUCCAUCCUUAGCAAUGGAACCAGAAAUGUCGGGUGUUGGCAUACCGUAACUAUCGCUACAUCAGAGAGAUAACCCAAGGCAACUCGAGGGUGCCGACCUUAGCAGUGCAGUCUCGUAAUAAUAAUUAGGAAUGCUAGAUUGGCCUUCCUAACCAUCCUUACUUGCGAUAUGCAAAGCUGUGGCACUACGCUUGAAAGUGCACAAGGAUUACAAGCUUAAGUAACGGUACUUAGGUACGCCAAUCGAUAGUUCAUGAAUGAAGAAGUAAUCUAACUACAAGCGGACAGAACUGUCAUUGUAGCAUUUCAACCCGUGAGUAUUCAAGGGUGUCAAAUUUAUAAUUCCCAUAGGAAGACAAAGGGAUCAAACAUGGUGUAAACUUGAUUACUUAUUGAAUGCUGUGUAGACAAAGAGUAAACAAGAAUAAACAUAAUAUUCAAGAUAGUGGACACACAUUGGAUCAACCUCAAGUAUAAAAUAGAAGAGAAAUAAUAAAUAAAUAAUAAAGAAAUAAAGAAAUAAAUCUACUUGAGCAGGCAUGGGUCACAUAUAACUAUGCAUAGAACUUUUAGCGGAUCAUCUAAUUAGCAAUAAAUAGAGUUAGAACUAAGCCUGAGAUGCGGGGAGAUCCCCGCAGCUGGAUACCCAGCUGAUAGAGACUUUACAGAACUCUUAUCAGAAUACCUGAUCGCGGGGGAAUGCAAAGGAUGACAGAGCUCUCACUACCCUGCCACCUACCCCUCUACCCGAAAGAUACCCGCGCAUCCACUGAUUUUUGCAUACCUGAACACCAUGUUCACGUAAUUGGAAACAACUCCUAACCCCCACGGGCCUCACCCCUUCGGAGUGACAGGCUAGGCUAAGAGCAACCAUCACAGCACAGUGAACCAUCAUCCCAUUCCUAAUUCUUAUCCUAAUCAUACUAAUCUAAUGAACAAUGAAGAACAAUGAUGAACAAGAACAUUGCACAAGAACUAAGAACUAGAUAUACUAUGAACAUGAUAAGGACACAACCAUACUCUAGUUCAUAUGCAUAAUCAUAUAAAGAUAAAUAGAACUUGCUCAUGGAAGAAGAUUGAAUAUUAUUCAUACCAAGAAGAUCCUUUCUUCCAAGGAGACAAGCUCUCCUUGCUAGCUCUUGCCUUGCUCUACUACUAAUCUAGACUAAAGAUACAAGUGAGCGGUGUGAGGUAAAUGACUCCAAAUGAUGUGUGUGUUGAAAAGGCAGGAGUGCCUCUCUUUUUAUAGUGAAACUAGGACGGUUCGUCGCAUCUAAAUUUGGUAGUAAGUGAAACCGUCCUAUGCAUGGCGACAUGCAACCACCUGAGAAAGGUGGGCCUGGUUUGCCGCCUCCAGGGGUGCGCCCGUACUAGGGUGCGGCCGCGCCCUAGGUGGGUCCCCCUGGCUAGCGCCUUCGUGUGGUCAGUUUGGCUCUGGGCCUGGAUCUCUCCCGUGGUUAUGAUCAGGCCUAGUUCUGCUUUGUUCGGGCCUUUCUCUAUUUUCUUGGUUUGCGCAUUUCUGAAUACGUCUUUUGGUACUUUGCGCUUUCUUCGUGGUAUGGCACAUUUCCACUUGUUGCACUAUAAUUCCUGCAUAAUAUAAUCACUAUGGUACAAGUGGAACUUGUUAGUAAUAAAAUGCAUGUGUGUAUAUAAUAUGAUUGCUUCUUCUCCUUUUGGAUCAACUUGGCAGUUUAUAAUUGGUCUAUAAUGACUGUCAACAACUCCCCCAAGCUUAACCUUUGCUUGUCUCAAGCAAAUAAUAAAGUAUGGUUGUUGAUCAGGAGUUGCUACUAUGCCGAUAUAAUUCAAGAGUAUCAUACCUAUAACAAAGCAUUCAUUCGCAAUUUAAAUAAGUUGGCAUGCUAUCCACUCUUUACCUUGACUUCUCAUGGGGCUUAUAGCUUUUCCAAGUUCUUGGGUGGUUGCAAGAUAGAAUGGUUGUAACAGACUCACCAUUCAUUCAUCCCUUGAUAGACCAUCAAUCCGGAGGUUUUAUAAUUUUUUUGCAAAAUAAAUAAGUUCCUUGAAUGAUUAUCUCGAUCGCUCAAUGUGUAUGAAAUCCUCACCAAAGGCAUUUGUGUUUGCCUUUACGACCUACCACUAAGGCUGAGAAUGGAGCUUUGGGAAGGUAUUAAGGUGGGCAUACUUACGACACUUGUGUUGCCAAGUCAAAGCCCGGACCAUGGGGAGAUACAAGUCAUACACCUUGAUUAAGUUGUGCAAGUGUGUGGAAUUUUUGGUGGUAGUCCUAUGUAAAUAUUUUUGGUUACUCCUUGUAUCAUGACUCUGUUUAUUUGAGGAACAGAAUGAGAGAAUGUAAACAUAUGGACCCUAAAUAAAUGGAUCAUAUAUAUAUAUAUAUAUAUUCUGACGGGGAUUUUGAUUUUCCCGUCCAUGCCCUUUGGCUUUUCCUUCACUUUUUUCAUGGAUAACUGAUGCCCACAUGUUUCAAAGGGAUCUCAAAGAGGUAAAUGGCGAGAUGUCAUGAUGGUGAUGUAAGGAGUAAAAUUGUGUAUGAGGAUGCGCAAACCUCAGGGUGAGAGUUUGGCAUACUUAUUUGGUGGAAGCUGUUGACACUAGCUAACACCACUUAGAUACUAGGUUGUCAUCCCUAGCAUGGCGCCAGAGUGUACAAAGGUAUUUAUAAAUGUAAAGGCUCUCUAGAAAAUAAUCUAUUCUAUCCGCAAGCGCACAGAUAAAACACCUCAUUGUAGCAUUUCACCAGGAUAAGUAUUCCAGGUAUCGUUAUUUAUAAUUUUGCUUAGGGAUCUGAGGAAGAUGGAAUUAAAUCAAAGGGGGCAAAAUCUAUCAAGGCAUAGACUAGAGAUAAACUUGCAAGAACAUGAUUACUAAUGAGAAACUCGUCACACAGUCACUUACUUAAGCAGGGGGUAAACCAUAAAGAUAAUGAUAAUAAAGUAUAAGUUCAUGGGGUAAAGAGCACAGCGAUUAGAAAAUAGACUACUCCUCAUAUAUGUAGGUGAUGUCGGAUUAGCUAGAGAAUGGAUUCUAAGUCAUCUACUAACUACUAAGUCAUAAUCUACUCUAGUUAUCUACAAGAUCAUAUAUAGCAUAAAAGACUCUUCAUUCAUGUAUAAGGAACAUUGAUAAAGUAAAUCAGAACAUCGCAUGACUUACUCCACAAUACCGGUUCUGCCUGUCCUAUCAACGGAGGGUGGACUAUAUAAGAAUCAACGAAGCUGUCACUAUCGCGAACUACCACACGACUCGGCCAAUAGGAUACAUUUGCAGAUAAAUAACAUCUAAGCACCAUGCUCACAUGUGAUCUAUCACCUAACUCCCUCGCGACAAGAGCUAAGCGCUUUAUAAACUUAUACAUAAACUCAUUAUCAAUUAGAACUAUAUCAAAUAUAGAACUAGAGCAAACUAAGAACAUAAUAAUUAGAGACAUAAUGCAAUUAGAACAAUAGAAUUAGAGAAAGAUAUGAAUAAUACCAAUCUUUAUUACCGAAGAUCCGAAUCCAGAGCGUAGUGCUCUACUUCUCUAAUUGCUAUCUAAACAAACCUCUAAACUUGAAGGAUUAGGGAGUAGCUAAUUCUAAUUCUCUGUGGGAGAGAAGCUCUAAACCCUAACUUUGAUGGCUACCUCUGAAUAAUGAUUUCUCCUCCUCUCCUCCAGGGGCCAGGGGGUCUGGUUUUAUAGUCCCCUCAAGUGAACGUGAGCCAUUGGAUCAAACCGACAUAGAUUGUAUGGUUUAGAUUGAUCCUUUAGGUCGGUGGAGCGUAGUCCCGAAGCAGAGUCCUGUUUGGCCUCCAACCCUGGGUGGGCGCCCAAGGGGGGUGGGCGGGCGCCCAGCCCCCGAGCCCGAAUCCCGUCCCGUUCGUUCCCGUGGCUUCUGGAUCCUUCUAGAUGGAGGAAAAUUGUGCGGCACGUAAUUAUCUCGUUGUAAACAUGACAUGUGGGCCUUCUCUCCAUAUUUUCUGAUAAACCCCUGCAGAAAUAGAUAAACACCAAAACUCGUGGAAUUCUGUCAGAUAAAACCCUAAUUCUAGAUGUUUGUUUCAUAUUGACCCUUUUUCAUGUUUAUUUGAUUAUUAAUUUUAGUACUUAAGGACCGUCAACAAACUCCCCCAAGCUUACCCUUUGCUCAUCCCUGAGCAAAUAGCUAAACUCAGACGGAUCAGAAGUUGCUUCGAUGUUUUCUUUCCUGACAGGCACACAUGCUUUUACAUAAAAAUUCUUCCAGAUUAGAGUGAAGUGUUAUGAAGUUUAGUACCUGCACUUAAGUCUUAAGUAAUCGAAAGACAAAAUAGUUAAGUCAAGCACUAUCCCUCCUGUCUAUACUUCACCUUUGUUCUAGAGUUUUUCAUAAGUUUUCAAAAUAAAACUCAGAGUUCCUAGCAAUGAUUCUCUUAAGUCUCUCUAUAUGUGGUAUUUGUGGAUCCUUACCAUAAUGUCACUUACCUAUAGCUAAUGAAAUAUUUAAGUGGAGCUCAUAGGAGUGAAAAACAGCUCAUACAUAUGUUGUCUAAUCGAGCCAUGGAUCCAAAGGAACUCAGCAUAUAAUUAAAUCAAGAUGUGCAUGUGUGAUGGAGUAAAUGAUAGUGAUGGUGAAAAUGCAUAAGUGAUAAUAAAACUUAGUUCUCAUUGCUCCUCAUAUUGCUAUCUUUCCUCCUCUUUGAUCUUUGCUUUGGGAGAACAUGGGCUAUCUUUUUUUUUCAGGUGGGUAAUAGAUACCCCUAAUUCUACUGUCGGACACUUGUCCAUUUUUUCUGCGCAAGUGGGCAUCUGUGUACCCCUAAUUCUACUUCGGACACUUGUCCAUUUUUACCUCUCGUCUCACUCUUUUUCUUUCUUUUUCGAGGUUCCCGGGCACUUGCCCCUUUUUAUUUCCUCGUAUAUAUUUUUGCAUAACCCAUGCCUCUUCUACAUUGAAUCUUUUUAGAGAGAGAGUAUAACAAUAUUCGGGACAGUGAGUGAUAAUAUUUUUAGCAAUUUUAAUGAUUGAUGAUGAAUGCUGUGGUAGAUGCGUUCAAGUGAAUAUCUUAAUUUAACCACAUGAAAAGCUCCUAAGGGUCAACACAGCUCGAUCAAACUCAAUGUAAAUAUAGUAAAAGAUGUUAUAGCAAGUAUGGCUGUGGUAGGUAGUUUGUUAUGCUAGGAACUCAUCAUGUGAUUUGUAAGUUUUCAAAAAUAAAUCUCUAGAACUUGGUGUAGUAGGAACAAGAUAAACAGUAGCUCAACUUUAUAUCAUGCCUUUCUCUUACCUAGACUUUAGUUUAUGCUUUCCCAAAGAUAGUAAUUUUAGUUUUAGUAAUUCCUGGAAGAAUUCUAAUAUAAAAGCUAGGUACUUGUAAGUGAGCAAACAGAGCAACUAUUCAUCAUUUCCAUCAUGUAUAUUUUUGAUCUUUUUAUUUUUCUAGAGAUUAAACUUAGCAGGAAGACAAAGCACACUUAUCUACACACUCUUUUUAUUUUGUUUUCAUGUUUAUAAAGUGCAGUAAAUUAAAGCAAGAAAAUAUUUAUUUGGUUUUCUAAGCUUUUCCUUUUAAGAUAAAUUAAAUACUAAGACAGAAUAGAAUAAAUAAGAAGAGCAAAUAAAAACUUACUUGAUAAAUUUGGGAGGAACUCCCCCAAGCUGGAUGUUGACGUCGGUCUUACCCGAUGUUCCAGAAUCGCAUCAUGGUUGUGAUGUUGUCGUUCAUUGUUGUUGUAUCUUGUCUCAGCUCUUCUACUGUAGCGGCAUGGUCCUGGUUCCAUUUUUGUUGCUCUUCCAGGAGUCUUCCAUGUUCUGCUUGCGUGUUCUGGAUGUUGAGGAGGGUGUUGUCGGUACGAGUAAAGAAAGCACCGGCCUCUUGAUAGUAGUCAUCCGUGAAGGCGUAGGAGGCGUCGGAGUAUCGUCCUGCAUCAAAUUGGGGUGGAGGUCUGGAUCCUGAAGCUCCAUAUGGAUCAGUGGAGUACCUGCCCGUAUGAAAAGGCGGGUUUGUCCACUGGUGAUCUUGGCUCUCCGGCCAUGUCUCCUCUGUUGGCUCUUGUGGUUGCGCAUGACGAGCCCAUGGGUCUCGAAGGACUCGAGGGUUGUAAUCGCAAUAAUGCAGGUGCGCUGUUUCUUCUGGUCCAGGGUCAGCUCCAUACCAAGUGCGUUCUCGGUGAGUGGUUAUCCUUUCGGAAGCCACUCGCUGUGGAGUUCUCUGGUUCACUGGUGUUGCUGCAAUCUCAAUCAAAAAGUUUUGCACAGAGUAGAGGCCAAGGUUCGGGUUAGGUAACCGAAUCUUGCCUUUAUCAUCAUAUAGCAUAUACAUUAUAUUUCCCUCUUUCUUUAACAUCCGAGCUUGUCUAAAUGUGUCAUAGCCAUGGUAAAUUCUUAAUUCUUCUAUGAAGUCCAACGAUGAGUUUUCUAGUAAGUGAAGAUUAGUGGCUAGACGAGUGAUAAGUGAAGUACAUCCUACUGGUCCCUGCAGACUAGGUAUACUAAGCCAAUGUGAAACUAAUAAUGUAACAGGUGAAGUAGGUACUUUACUAAUAGUAGCAUAUAAAAGUUGUAAAUCUCCUACUCUUACUUUCCUAAUAUCGUCACGAUAGAAAAGAUUGUACCCAAGCCAUUUGUGAAACAUCCUAAGAGUGGGGUGUUCCAUGUCACUGGUUCGGGCUUGACUGUAAAAAUUAUCUCUAGAUAUUUCUCUCCAAAACUGGUGUCUCUCAAAAUUGGGUAAAUCGGAGUCGAUGUUUAGGAUGCAUCUUGAAGAGAAACCAAGAUGGUCGCUCAGCUCUCUCCAAGACAGCAUAAUUUCCUGUUUAAACAUCCAAAAAACAAUUCCCCCCUCAUAGUAUUGUAAAGUACAAAGAAAUUCGAGGGUGAGAAGACGAGAACCCAGCUCAGUUAUAUUCCAAAAAUUUGUCCAACCCAUCAUUUGAAAAAUUAAGUCAAAUUCAGUGUCCAUACCUGUUUCUCGUAGUAGGAUUGGAUCGAUAGUAGGGGUGUGAAUGAAAUCUUUGUUCUUCAGUUGCUGAUAGACUUCCUUCUCUCUUCGGGUCUUCAGUCCUAGGUCUCCUAUCUUGAGAAGGACCUUGACUUGCUGGCCUGAUGAAGAUGAUGGAGCUUGUGUGGGUGUCGGGUCGACGCUCAUCUCUGAUGGUUGUGAGGAGUGUCGGGAUGAACUCCUUGUACCAAUGUUCUUGAGAGCCUUCCCUGCAUUCUUCACCUUCUUAAACAUCCUGCAAACAAAAGUUGGCAAAAACACAACUGGUGGAAAAUGUGAGAUAAAAUGUUAGUGGUCAGCUGUCCGGAGUGUCAGUAGUCCAGGGGUUAAUCGUUCAAGACAAGUUUCUAUUUUGGUAGAGCCUCCCCCUAAACAACUUUUACUUCCGCUUAGACAGCGGGAUCACUACUUGCUAGGUGAUAAACACUCUCUCAAAAGAACUCCAACUUUCUCGUCCACUCUCCUCUUUCUCUCUACUCUCUUCUCUUCACUACAAAAGCUCCUUCUCGGGAGACUGAGAUUUAUGUGGUUUUCUGAAGUGUUUGUGUGAAGAGAAGGAAAGCUGGAGGUGGCCUUUUAUAGGCUGAGCAGGGGACAGGGCGGGCGCCCAAGGUAGGUGGGCGGGCGCCCACCCCUGGUGUCCAUCCUAGGUGUGCUUCCUCCACUUGCUUCCUUGCUUUGAUCUCACGCAAAAUAAUGUUGUGUUGGUGGUGGUUGGACGGUGGAAAGAUGUCAGGUGAGUGGAAAUAUAUUGGUGGAUGAAAUUAUGUGAUGGGAUGUAUGUGAGGUGAAGUGUAUGACAUGUGGGACCCAAAGAGUGUGGGUCAUGCUUCUAGAAGAUUAAUAUGAUUAAAUAUAAUGCAGGAAAAUCUAUGAGAAUCGAAACUUAAUGAAAAUGAUAAUGGAAAAUAUUUUUGUGCCUCCACAAUAAUAAAUAUGGGUUGUUACACACCACAAAUAUUAUUUAUAUGGGGCUUUUUGAUUAUUAUAAUAAUGCUAUGACUAAUGCAAGAAUUAAUUAUGCAAGAAUGAGAAAAUUGAUAAUGCGGGUAAAUACCGAUUUACCUCCCGGUGAGGGUUUGGGAUUUUUAGGUCCCCCAAGCUGGACCUCCAAAUCUUUUAAUCUUCUGAGUUACCUUCCUCCGGAGAUGGUGUCUCCAGUGGUUCUUCAUGAACUUCCUUCACUGUAGAGUCUCUCUGGUCUGGGUUUGAAUGUGAAGUGUUCUUCUUGACCGUUUAUGUUGAACUUGAUUUCUCCCUUCCUGACAUCAAUGUGGGCAUUGACAGUGCUCAGAAAUGGUCUUCCAAGGAUGAUGGACACUUUUGAGUCAGGACUCAUGUCCAGUACUACGAAGUCUACUGGCACCAGGAAAUCUCUGAUCUUGACUGGAAUGUUCUCGGCGAUGCCCAACGGGUGUCGAACCGAUUGAUCCGCUAGUUGUAGACACAUUGAUGUUGGUUCUAAAGUUGCAUGCUCAAGCUUUUUGUAGACAGAUGCUGGCAUCACACUGACACUUGCUCCGAGAUCACAAAGUGCAUUAUUGAAGUGUUGGUUUCCGAUCGAGCAGUCAAUAGUGGGGCAUCCUGGAUCUUCCUUCUUCUUUGGUGGUUUGUUGAGGAUGGCCGCACUACAUUCUUCUGUCAGCUUGAUAACCUCAGUGGUGGGCAGUGGUCUCUUCUUGUUAAGAAUUUCUCUGAUGUACUUUGCAUAUGUAGGUACCUGUAUGGCAUCAAGUAGAGGUAUGUUGACAUAUAAUUUCUGAAUGAUCUCUACAAACUUACCAAACUGCUCAUCCGACUGCAGUCCUCUGUUUCUUCUGGGAAAUGGCAAAUAGUUGGUGUCGUAAAAAUCUUUCCUCAUUUCUCCAGUUCUUGGUGGUUGGAGCAUAUCUUCUGCUUCAACUGGGCUUUCUUCUUCUAUUACUGCUGGUUGCACUGGUGCUGAUGUUCUUUGUUUCUCUUUUGGGUAUGGUGGAUCUCUGGUAGCUUUACCUCCUCUAGUAGUUAUAUUCUUUACCUGCUCAAUGUUAGUAGCAAUAGGCAGUGCAGCAGCUAACUUUAUUAAUUUAAGCUCUACCCUUUUAUUAAGAGUGUUUUGCUCAUCAAAGGCAGUUAGUAGAAAAUCCAUUUUAUUGUGUAUAUCUUUUAGAGAUGAUUCAUUUGUAUCUAGCCUUUGUUUAACUUCAUCAUUAAUUUUGGUUUGUUGAGCAAUUAUCUCUUUUAAUGAAAGUAGCUUGACAGUAUUACCUGAAUUCAUACCUUUGCUAUUGGGUUGACUCGAAGUUGUUUGAUAUUUGUAUGCUGUCUCAAUGGCCCUUUGAUCUUCUGUGAACUUGGCCCUCUGGUCAAUCCAAUGGAGCAAAUUUUCCAUAUUAGUUGAUAAUGCAUUUAUUUCUUCUGGUAUUUCUUCAGUUUGAUGACAAUGUUGAGCUUUAUCUUGGAACCAGCUUUGGUUUUCUGCUAUCUUAUCCAAAAGUAUCUCUGCUUUUCCAGUUGUAAGCUCCAAGAAUAAUCCUUUAGCAGAUGCAUCUAGGCACUCACGAGCCUUCUGGGUUAAUCCAUGGUAGAAGGUCUGCAUAAGUAACCAUGUGGCCAUUCCAUGGUGAGGACAAUCUGAUAUGUAUCCUUGAAAAUGCUCCCAUGCUUCUGAAAUGGCUUCUGUCUUCUGCUGUUGGAAACUGACAAUAUUUCCUCUUAAGGCAGUUGUUUUGCCUAUAGGGAAAAACUUUGAUAGAAAGGCAUCUGACAAGUUCGUCCAGUUGUUGAUGUUAUCUUGAUGAGUGUAGAACCACUUCCUCGCUUUUCCUUCUAAUGAGAAUGGAAAAAGGCGAAGCAGUAUGACGUCUUUGUCAACUCCGUUGAUGUGGAUUGUGCUUCCAAUCUCUAAGAAAUUCUGCAAGUGUGCAUUGGCAUCUUCAUGUGCCUUUCCACUGAAUUGUGUAGCUUGUACCAAAUUGAUGAGGCUUGACUUGAGCUCAAACUCAGGUAUUCCUUCUUCUACUGCAAAUCUUGGACCAGUUGGAAUGUUCUCAAGACUUGGAGCAGAGAAUUCUUGCAAGGUCUUUUGUGCCAUAGCUUGAGCAAUUGGUAACUAGCUUCUUCUUCUCUUGAUUGCUUUGGUUCUGAUGAUGAAGAGUUGAAUGUACCCAAAGUCAAUCCUGUUAUACCCUGUAUAAAAAUAUAAACAUAGAAAAACAACAGGGUGAACCUGCCAAAGCAGCGGUGCCUUGUUAUGAUUUCUCACUUAGUAGUUGUUUUAUGCAAUUAUUUCUCUAUAGUCUAGUCUAAAAUUUUAUAUGAAUAACCUUGAUUGAUUUUCUGGCCUUCCUCAAUAUUACUCCUUUGUUCCCCUUUUACGACUUAUUCCUGAGACUCAUAUAAUUCUUAUAAUUCUAACAUGUCUCCGUAACUCCCCGGCAACGGCGCCAGAAAUGCUUGUUGACACUAGCUAACACCACUUAGAUACUAGGUUGUCAUCCCUAGCAUGGCGCCAGAGUGUACAAAGGUAUUUAUAAAUGUAAAGGCUCUCUAGAAAAUAAUCUAUUCUAUCCGCAAGCGCACAGAUAAAACACCUCAUUGUAGCAUUUCACCAGGAUAAGUAUUCCAGGUAUCGUUAUUUAUAAUUUUUCUUAGGGAUCUGAGGAAGAUGGAAUUAAAUCAAAGGGGGCAAAAUCUAUCAAGGCAUAGACUAGAGAUAAACUUGCAAGAACAUGAUUACUAAUGAGAAACUCGUCACACAGUCACUUACUUAAGCAGGGGGUAAACCAUAAAGAUAAUGAUAAUAAAGUAUAAGUUCAUGGGGUAAAGAGCACAGCGAUUAGAAAAUAGACUACUCCUCAUAUAUGUAGGUGAUGUCGGAUUAGCUAGAGAAUGGAUUCUAAGUCAUCUACUAACUACUAAGUCAUAAUCUACUCUAGUUAUCUACAAGAUCAUAUAUAGCAUAAAAGACUCUUCAUUCAUGUAUAAGGAACAUUGAUGAAGUAAAUCAGAACAUCGCAUGACUUACUCCACAAUACCGGUUCUGCCUGUCCUAUCAACGGAGGGUGGACUAUAUAAGAAUCAACGAAACUGUCACUAUCGCGAACUACCACACGACUCGGCCAAUAGGAUACAUUUGCAGAUAAAUAACAUCUAAGCACCACGCUCACAUGUGAUCUAUCACCUAACUCCCUCGCGACAAGAGCUAAGCGCUUUGCAAACUUAUACAUAAACUCAUUAUCAAUUAGAACUAUAUCAAAUAUAGAACUAGAGCAAACUAAGAACAUAAUAAUUAGAGACAUAAUGCAAUUAGAACAAUAGAAUUAGAGAAAGAUAUGAAUAAUACCAAUCUUUAUUACCGAAGAUCCGAAUCCAGAGUGUAGUGCUCUACUUCUCUAAUUGCUAUCUAAUCAAACCUCUAAACUUGAAGGAUUAGGGAGUAGCUAAUUCUAAUUCUCUGUGGGAGAGAAGCUCUAAACCCUAACUUUGAUGGCUACCUCUGAAUAAUGAUUUCUCCUCCUCUCCUCCAGGGGCCAGGGGGUCUGGUUUUAUAGUCCCCUCAAGUGAACGUGAGCCAUUGGAUCAAACCGACAUAGAUUGUAUGGUUUAGAUUGAUCCUUUAGGUCGGUGGAGCGUAGUCCCGAAGCAGAGUCCUGUUUGGCCUCCAACCCUAUGCGGGCGCCCAAGCGGGGUGGGCGGGCGCCCAGCCCCCGAGCCCGAAUCCCGUCCCGUUCGUUCCCGUGGCUUCUGGAUCCUUCUAGAUGGAGGAAAAUUACGCGGCACGUAAUUGGAUCCUUCUCGUUGUAAACAUGACAUGUGGGCCUUCUCUCCAUAUUUUCUGAUAAACCCCUGCAGAAAUAGAUAAACACCAAAACUUGUGGAAUUCUGUCAGAUAAAACCCUAAUUCUAGAUGUUUGUUUCAUAUUGACCCUUUUUCAUGUUUAUUUGAUUAUUAAUUUUAGUACUUAAGGACCGUCAACAGAAGCUAAGGCGCAACUCUCAAGGUAAGAGUUGUCAUAUUUUUGGUGGAUGGAAGGGUGCAUGUUGUGCGCAACUUCUCAGUGUGAGAGUCGACUUUAUUUGGUGGGUGCAUGAAUCUCAUGUCAUGGGUGCAUGACCAUAAUCUCACUCUAGGAUACCUGGGAUUUGACUCAACUCAAAGCGCCACAAGCCGCAUAUGACUAAAGGUGUACAAACUACUAAGCAAGUCAUAUGGCAUUGGUAGGUAUUUCAUAAUCAUUGAGGAACUCUUUGUUUUGAAUUUUUGAAAAGAAAACUUUGGAUGUCAAGUUUCUCUUAGAACAAAGUCAUAGGAAAAUCUAUUUAUACCAUAUCAUGUCUCGCAACAACUUAGAAAAGGAUCAUGCAUUUGCUACCCACAAGAUUUCAAGUUCUCAGAAUGAGACAUUUUUUAUCCAACGAACUUAAAUCUUAAUGAACACUAAAUUAUAACUUAGAUACUAUAGAAUUAUAGACAGAGCAAUUAUUCAUAAUUUCAACAGAAGAGAAACUAACAUAUCAUAGGGCACAUGAGAGUGGAAUUUUUUUGAAAGAUGAUGAAAACUUGCUAAAAUUUAAAUACUGAAAUUAAGAACUAAAAUUAAGUGUAAGAAUGUAAGAUACAUGUUACCUCUUGUGGGGGUCCUCCCCCAAGCUAGCUCACUGCUGCGGUCCAGGGAAAUGUCCCAUGGAUCGUAGGUAGGCCAUAUGUGCCUCGUGCCGGCGACGGCUUGCAUCCUCAAGGUCGAUGAAGCUCUGUUGAGUCUGCUGAUGCCAUUGGGUAGCAGUCUGGAUGUGGGCUUUGAACAUACCUUGGAUCUGCAUGUUUUGGAGCUCCAGUCCUCCCAUGUGAGUGUUGAGGACGUCCAGUGUGACCUGAGGGCAAACAGGGGGUGGCAUUCCAUCGGAAUCUGAGGAGUGUCCUAGCUCGUGAUGCCUGGAUACCCCUGCCCCAUAUGCCUCUGGCUCGCUUGGGCCUGCGCCUCCGUGCGCCUGCCAGCUCAACCCUCCUGCCUACCAGCUCGAACCUCCAGCCUCGUAGGGGUGAGGAACGUAUCCCAUACCAUAUCCAUACCCAGGGGUAAAUCCGGGUGCAGGUAUAGCAGGGGUCCGUCCCAUCCAUGGCAUAGCUGGUGGUGGAGUGUGCUGUGCUGGCUAUGCGGAUGGUGCUGGCUGUGCUGCCUGUGCUGCCCUUGCUGCUUGUGCUGCCUGCUCUUCUUGUUCCCUCCUACGUGAGUUCGUGUGAGAUACAGACCUCCUACGUCCUCCUUCCCUCUCAAGAGGGUGAAGGUGAGUGAUGGGGAAUUAUACAGAGCGAGAUACGGGUUAGCUAACUGGAUCUCGUUUGUAUAUCCCGGAAAAUAAUAUAAAAUCUUUUUACCUAUUUCGUCGCGUUUAAUCACAUGUGCAUGCGAAAGAUAUGAUUCAUUAAUCAUGAUGCGAGGAGUAGUGAUGUAAAUAAUGGUAUUAGCAGCAUGGGGAUCAACACUUGCAGCAAGGCGAGUAAUAAGAGAUGUGCACAUAUAGCAGUUGAAGUCUUAAUGGAAUGCAACCAAUGAUUAACAAGCUCAACCACAGGUGCAACCUUAAUCUUUUUGAGCGCAGCAUAAAGCAACUUCAAGUCUAUGUCGUGAGUAAGAUGCGUAUCAUCUUUUGAAAAGAACGAACUAGUGAUCCACUUAUGGAGAAGCCUAAGAGUGGUGUGUUGGAUGUUGGCAUUAUGCCCCUGAAACUUUCCAACGACCUGUAGCCCCGAGAUCAAUUGCCAGAAUGCAUGACGUUGGUAACCCCCAAGGGAGAAACCUAAGUCAAUGGAGCAACGUUCGUGGAAACCCAAACGGUUGGAAAGAUCCUUCCAAUAAAUACCAAAAUCUCUUCCAAAGCAACGGAAGGUAAUACCAUAAUCGAUAAUUUGUAGAGUGCCCAAAAUUUGGAUCGUCAAAACACGUGACCCAAGCUCAUGAACGGGGCCAACUCUACUGCAACCAAGAUGCUCGAAAAUAGUAUCAAACUCAACAUCCAUACCUAUUUGGUGGAGAAUGUGGGGUCGAAUGCCGGCGAAUGGAGGAACUCCCGUUCCUUCAUGAGGUUGUAUGCCUGCAUCUCCCGCUCGCUCUCCAAGUCGAUGAAGGCAGUGUCAGCCUCAUCAAUGGCGUGGCCGUGUGGCUCCUCCUCCUCUCCUCCAUGCGUCGGCUGCUCGUUCCUUGUAGGGGUUGGUGGAUCUUCCCCGCGUUGGCGAUGGCUCAUUCUAAGCCCAAAAAUUCUAUUCAUAGUGGACGAGCUAGCAAAAGUGUAUGGUGUUUUUGCUUAGAGUGGGAAGUGUGCAAGAGGUUUUUGACAGAAUUUUCUUGCACUAAGCUUGUGGAGUAGGCUAUGAAGCAAAGUGGAGAAAGAGAGUGAAGAAGGGAAGAGUAAAAAAAUGUGUGUGAGAGGGGUGAGGUGCUCCACCCGGGACCCUCUCUAUUUAUAGAGUUGAUCGCAGGCAGGGGAGCGCCCCCCUCAAUGGCUACUAGCCGUUGCCCAAAGGCUGAGGCCAACAAGCCUUGGGCAUGGUGCGGCCGCACCCUGGUGCGCCCGCACCAGUGUUGGGCCCGCCACUGCCAGGCCUUUUGGCUGCUGGCUCCAACGGUCACUCCAAACGUCUCUUUGGUUACGAUCACACUUGGUUUAAAAUCUUGCUCUAGAUUUUGAUUUUCCACAUAUUUAUUAAAAAUAUUUUUGGUUUUCAAAAAUUAUAUAAAAAUGAGAUUUGGAAAUGCGAAAAUCUAUACUACCAGAAAAUAAUUUUUAUAAGAUUUUCAGAGAAACAUUAUUUUGACUAAAAAUAAAACUAUAGAAAGGGAAACUUUUGGAAACUAAAAAUAAAACUUUCUAUAAAAAGAGAAAUUAAAACAAAAUUUAAUGAAUUUAAAAAGACUGUUGACGGUCCUUAAGUAUCAAAUUUAAUUAUAAAAUAAACAAAGAAAAGGAUCCAAAUGAAAUCAACAUCUAGACUUAGGGUUUUAUUUGACAGAAUUCCACGAGUUUUGGUGUUUGUCUAUUUCUGCAGGGGGUUAUCAGGAAAUAUGGAAGAAAGGCCCACACGUCGGGAUUACAUAGAGAUAUCAACGUGCCGCACAAUUAUCUUACAUCUAGAAGACUCCUGAAGCCACGGGAAGGAAGCGGAGGCCGAACGGGGCAAGGCACUGGGCGCCCGCCCAGUUGACCUGGGCGCCCGCCCCCUCCUGGAGUCCAAAUAGGACUCUCUUUCGGGAAAGAUCUCCACCGACCUAAAGAAUCAAGGAUAACCGUUCAAUCAAUGUCGGUUUGAUCCAACGGCCCAUAUUCACUUGAAGGGACAAUAAAACCAGACACCCUGGCCCCUAGAGGAGAGAGCCUCUCAACCCUAAUUCAUUAUUCCUCAAGGGAGAAGAAGCCUCUGAUCCAGAUUAGAGCCACCACAUCAAUUAGAUAUCUAGAUUAGCAUAGCUACAUAGGAUUAGAACUAGAAGGAGUCAAUCUUCGAUUGGUUUCCGGAUCUGUCAAGAGGAUUCUUGGUAAUUCUCUAAUUGUGCUAAAAAUUGUUCUCUAAUCAUUUUUGUUCUUCAAUAUUAUGAAUAUGACUUUGUUCUACUUCAAUAUAUUGCUGAUGACUUUGCUCUACUUGUUUAUAUUCAAGAUUAUAUUGUUCUUAGUUUAUCAUAGUUAUAUACUUGGCUUUGUUAGAUUGGAUUUAUAUACAUGUUUAGGAUCGUAUAGCAUUUAUCCAUCGGAUCCAUGUGUAAAUGAUAGAUAUUGUGUAGGCGUGGUGCUUAUACUGUAUUUAUCUGCGAUUGUACCCAAUAUGCCAGAUCGUGGGGUAGUUCGUGAUAGUGACAGCUUCAUUGAUUCUUAUAUAGUCCCCCUCUCGUGUAUUGGGCUGGCAGAGCAACAUUAUUACAGGGGAGUGAUUGCUAUGUUUCUCAUUUACCUUGCUAAUAUCACUAUGCAUGGGCAUAGUCUUGUCUCGCAAUGAUUGCUAAGUAUGCUUGCACUAACUAUGAUAAUGCUAGACUAUAUAGUUGAGAAUAACUUAGGAAAUAUUCUUGUAGUUCGUUCUAAUACCAUGCUAAUGACUUUCUAGAGUAUCUAAUUGAGGUGCUUAUCAUAUUUAUUAUGUGGCUAAGUUAUGCUGAUCAGAUUAAUUAUCUUUGUCACUAUUCAUUAUUUCAUAUAUCUUUUAUGUGACACUUAUCCCUGUUGACACCAUUUUUGGGCACGUGUCCAUGAUCGGUAGAAUGCAGGUCGGCAAGACAAGAUGGCAGUGCUUGGUCUACAGGAUGAGUUGCCAAUGAGGAUGGUUGCCGAUGGAGGGACGGUUGAAUAUGACUAAGUCCAUAGGUGAUGAUGUGUUUGUGCCAAUGGCAACAACAGGGGAGUCUGCCGAUGAUGCGGAUGAAGGACCUAAAGGUUGCCGAUCGGCUUGUGGAGGUGUUCUAGUUUGUCACGGGAGGAUAGUUUUAUGUUUUCCUUAGUUAUUUAGAUUGUUUUGUAUACGGAUUCUGUUUAAUUUGGAAUUCGAAUUCUAGUCAUGUCUGGUUGUAGCUCUGCGAGCAAGGUAUAAAUGUAGACCCUGAGGCUUUGUAAACAGACAUCUAUCAAUCAAUCAAACACAAGUUUUUACUCAUAUUCCAGCAUCUAAUUUUUCGACGACUUCGUCGUACCUUUUUCCUUUUCAUUACGAGUUCUUAUGAAUUCGUCGACUCAAGCUCGGCGUAUUCUCGAGUUCCGCGUGAAUACCUCUUGGCCGUGGCAUCCGGGCGCAUCGCUGUUGUCGGGACCAAAGUAUUCGAGUUAUCACCUUUGCCGAUAGUAAAGUCAAAUCGGCUGGCACGCCUUAACUUUUGAAUUCGGGUAUUAGCCUUUUGUGUUUGCAGAUCAGCUUUUGCAUCAACACAUCUUUUGGCACGCCCGGUGGGACUAGAUUCAAGAUCAAGAUCAACAUGUCGACUUCUGACUUUGAUCAGGAGAACGUCAUCCCCGUGACGGAAGCCAAUCUCAAGGAUGAGCAGAAGCAAGCUAUCGCUAAAGCCAUGGAGGAUUACAAGCAGCAAUGCCUAAGGUCCUUCAGCAUGAACAGGAGCGGCGAAGUGAUCCAGAAGGAUGCGCUGCUGAUGCCUCGGCAGGUUACUUUUGAAGCCAAUCCUGGUAAACUUCAAGAGAUGGUCGAUAGUGCUAUCAAUCGUGCCUUGAUCAACCAACCUGGUGUGCUGUCCAAUACGGUUUUCAAUGCCGUGGCUAGAACUUUCAAGGAAGGACAAUUGCCACCAGAUUAUGUGGGCCCCUCUCAUCAUCAGCCAGGAUCACCGGUGGUCAUAGCUCCAUCGGCUGCUACAGCCGCUGCGGGCACAGAAAUUCCUGUUCCUCCAAGCACGUUAGGAGUCGCCAAUGCACAAUCUACACCGAUGACAACUAAUCCACCGACUUCAAAUGAACAAAUCAAGCUCACCACAGGUCUAUUGGCAUCGGCAAUGUCAGGACCAGUUCCUCCUCCUAACUGGUGGGGUUUCGGUAUGCCACAGGUCUAUUGGCAUCGGCAAUGUCAAGACCUGGCACGUCUCAGGCAGCUGAGAUGAGAGGCAAGGCUCCUAUGGCAUCGGCACCUCCAAGUAUGCCGAUGAACCAGAGUUCCCAGUAUACUAUGACUACUACUGCAACACCUUAUACUAGGAAUUCUCAAUCUUCGACGUUCCAGAUGCCUAACGCAUCGGCAGAGUCAAUGCUGAUGCAACAGAGAUUUAUGACUCAGCCAGGGUAUGUCAAUUCAAUGAUGAUGCCCAAUUACCAGUCAUCGGCAGGACCUAUGCCGAUGAAUGCUAAUAGUGGAUGGCUUGCGCAGCAAGUCUUUCCGCAAAUGCCCCAACCGAAUCAUCAGGCUAUAGGGUUCCAGCAAAGCCAGAUCUAUCCCGGGUUCCAAAAUCAGGGAAUGCCCAACCAGCCAAUGAAUCUUGGGAGCAGGUCGGAGGACAGCAGAUUGGCGGCCAACAGCUUGGUGGUCCGCGGAUUGGGGGCCAGAUAAUUAAUCCAAUGUUCCAUGCAGAUUGUGCACCGCACAGACACGUGGAAGCUUACCAGCAGGUGCCGGAUCCGCAACUGCCUCAUCGGCAAGAUGCCGAUGCUUAUCGGGCCGAUAAGAUUGCUGAAGUGAUGAGAGACCAAUUUGGGAUAAAACGCAAAGUCAACACUUACUCUUAUCGGACACCGUAUCCUCCCGCAUAUGAUUUGAUCCUACUUCCAAAUCGGUACAAGGUACCGGAUUUUACUAAGUUUUCUGGGCAGGAUGACACGUCAACCAUGGAGCACGUCAACAGGUUCAUCAUCUAGUGCGGGGAAGCUGCUAACAGGGACGAGUUAAGGGUUCGCUUAUUUUCGUCAUCAUUAUCUGGAUCAGCUUUUACUUGGUUUAUAUCAUUACCUACCAACUCAGUGGUUACUUGGGCCGAUCUGGAGAAGCAAUUCCACAAAUACUUCUUUUCUGGUGUCCAUGAGAAGAAGAGUACCGAUUUGGUCAAAUUGAGGCAACGCAAUGAUGAAUUGGUUGAGAGUUUUGUGCAGAGGAUACGGGAGGUCAAGAACAAAUGCUAUAGCCUGGUUCUAGAUGAUCGGCAGCUAGCCGAAGUCAUUUGGUGCAGAGAAUUUCUGAUCAAGAUAUCAAGCCCUUUGAGCCCAAGAGAGCACGGAGUAAAAAGGUAUCAUUUGUGGAUGAAGCGGCAAGUUCGGACUCUGAUGAAGAACCAGUCAUCGGCUUGGCAGAAUGGGUGAAAAAUAAAAAGCUGAUGUCUUGUCCUUUUGGACAUAAAGAACCGGAGAAGUUCGCAUUUGACAUCACUAAGGCCGAUAGGAUAUUUGACUUUCUACUUUAAGAAGGUCAGAUCAAGCUGUCACCUAAUCAUGUGAUCCCAUCGGCUGAAGAAUUAAAAAGGAUGAAGUAUUGCAAAUGGCACAAUGCAACUUCUCACGACACUAAGGAGUGUAAAGUUUUUAGACAACAGCUGCAAUCGGCUAUAGAAUCUGGGAGGAUCAAAUUUGACAGCUCCAAAACUCAGAAGCCGAUGAAGAUUGAUCAACAUCCUUUCCCAACAAACAUGCUGGAUGCUAAGGGAAAGGCCAAAGUCUUGACGUCGGUGUUGAUGGUUCUUAAGUAUCAAAUUUAAUUGUCAAAUAAAUAAAUAAAAGGAUCCAAAUGAAAUCAAGAUCUAGACUUAGGGUUUUAUCUGACAGAAUUCCACGAGUUUUGGUGUUUGUCUAUUUCUGCAGGGGGUUAUCAGGAAAUACGGAAGAAAGGCCCACACGUCGGGAUUACAUAGAGAUAUUAACGUGCCGCGCAAUUAUCUUACAUCUAGAAGACUCCAGAAGCCACGGGACCGAAGCGGAGGCGAAACGAGGCGUGACCCUGGGUGCCCGCCCAGGUGAUCAGGGCGCCCGCCGACCUGCCGAGGCCAAUCAGGACUCUGCUUUGCGGGAGAUCUCCACCGACCUAAAGGAUGAAUCUAAACCAUACAAUCUAUGUCGGUUUGAUCCAACGGCCCAUAUUCACUUGAAGGGACUAUAAAACCAGACCCCCUGGCCCCUGGAGGAGAGAGCCUCUCCACCCUAAUUCAUUGUUCUUCAAGGGAGAAGAAGCCUCUGAUCAAGAUUAGAGCCACCACAUCAAUUAGAUAUCUAGAUUAGCAUAGCGAGUCAAUCUUCGAUUGGUUUCCGGAUCUGUCAAGGGGAUUCUUGGUAAUUCUCUAAUUGUGCUUCGAAUUGCUUUCUAAUUAUCUUUGUUCUUCAAUACUAUGAAUAUGACUUUGUUCUACUUCAAUAUAUUGCUUAUGACUUUGCUCUACUUGCUUAUAUUCAAUAUUAUAUUGUUCUUAGUUUAUCAUAGUUAUGUACUUGGCUUAGUUAGAUUGGAUCUAUAUACAUGCUUAGGAUCGUAUAGCGUUUAUCCAUCGGAUCCAUGGGUAAAUGAUAGAUAUUGUGUAGGCGUGGUGCUUAUACCGUAUUUAUCUGCGAUUGUACCCAAUAUGCCAGAUCGUGGGGUAGUUCGUGAUAGUGACAGCUUCAUUGAUUCUUAUAUAGUCCCCCUCUCGUGUAUUGGGCUGGCAGAGCAACAUUAUUACAGGGGAGUGAUUGCUAUGUUUCUCAUAUUCCUUGCUAAUAUCACUAUGCAUGGGUGUAGUCUUGUCUCACAAUGAUUGCUANNNNNNNNNNNNNNNNNNNNNNNNNNNNNNNNNNNNNNNNNNNNNNNNNNNNNNNNNNNNNNNNNNNNNNNNNNNNNNNNNNNNNNNNNNNNNNNNNNNNNNNNNNNNNNNNNNNNNNNNNNNNNNNNNNNNNNNNNNNNNNNNNNNNNNNNNNNNNNNNNNNNNNNNNNNNNNNNNNNNNNNNNNNNNNNNNNNNNNNNNNNNNNNNNNNNNNNNNNNNNNNNNNNNNNNNNNNNNNNNNNNNNNNNNNNNNNNNNNNNNNNNNNNNNNNNNNNNNNNNNNNNNNNNNNNNNNNNNNNNNNNNNNNNNNNNNNNNNNNNNNNNNNNNNNNNNNNNNNNNNNNNNNNNNNNNNNNNNNNNNNNNNNNNNNNNNNNNNNNNNNNNNNNNNNNNNNNNNNNNNNNNNNNNNNNNNNNNNNNNNNNNNNNNNNNNNNNNNNNNNNNNNNNNNNNNNNNNNNNNNNNNNNNNNNNNNNNNNNNNNNNNNNNNNNNNNNNNNNNNNNNNNNNNNNNNNNNNNNNNNNNNNNNNNNNNNNNNNNNNNNNNNNNNNNNNNNNNNNNNNNNNNNNNNNNNNNNNNNNNNNNNNNNNNNGGGGAGCUACUGAGCUGGUUGAGCUUACUAUCUCUCAUACAGUUUACUGUUGGGUAUUCUUAACAUCAUUACCAAAAGUAGACUAAGUUCUCUAAAUCUAGUAACGGUGCCAAAAAUGUCAAACCUAUCCCUCACACCACUUAAGCCAAGUUGUCAUCCCCAGCAUGAUAUAAGAGACGCGGUAUUGAAAUAUGCAAUUGCUCUUCUAAAUAAAUAAUGAAUGGGAUCUGCAAGCGCACAGAUUAAUACCGAUGCAGCAUUUUAACCGGGAAGUAUUCCAGGUAUCGUUAUUUAUAUUUUUACCACUGGGAAGGGAUUAGCAAUCAUCAAUAUUGAUUACAGAAUAGAAUAUGAGAUUGAGCAUCUAUCAUUGCAUGUAUAAUUGAGAACAUUAUAUCUAACUCUUCAUACAGGGAUAAGUGUCACAUAAAAGAUAUAUGAAAUAAUAAUAGUGACAAGGAUAACUAAUCUGAUCUAGCCACAUAAUAAAUAUGAUAAGCACCUCAAUUAGAUACUCUAGAAAGUCAUUAGCAUGGUAUUAGAACGAACUACAAGAAUAUUCCCUAAGUUAUUCUCAACUAUAUAGUCUAGCAUUAUCAUAAUUAGUGCAAGCAUACUUAGCAAUCAUUGCGAGACAAGACUACGCCCAUGCAUAGUGAUAUUAGCAAGGAAUAUGAGAAACAUAGCAAUCACUCCCCUGUAAUAAUGUUGCUCUACCAGCCCAAUACACGAGAGGGGGACUAUAUAAGAAUGAAUGAAGCUGUCACUAUCACGAACCACCCGACGAUCUAGCAUAUUGGGUACAAUCGCAGAUAAAUACGGUAUAAGCACCACGCCUACACAAUACCUAUCAUUUACCCAUGGAUCCGAUGGAUAAACGCUAUACGAUCCUAAGAAUGUAUAUACAUCCAAUCUAACUAAGCCAAGUACAUAACUAUGAUAAACUAAGAACAAUAUAAUCUUGAAUAUAAGCAAGUACAGCAAAGUCAUAAGCAAUAUAUUGAAGUAGAACAAAGUCAUAUUCAUAAUAUUGAAGAACAAAGAUAAUUAGAAAGUAAUUAGAAGCACAAUUAGAGAAUUACCAAGAAUCCUCCUGACAGAUCCGGAAACCAAUCGAAGAUUGACUCCUUCUAGUUCUAAUCCUAUGUAGCUAUGCUAAUCUAGAUAUCUAAUUAAUGUGGUGGCUCUAAUCUUGAUCAGAGGCUUCUUCUCCCUUGAGGAAUAAUGAAUUAGGGUUGAGAGGCUCCCUCCUCUAGGGGCCAGGGGGUCUGGUUUUAUAGUCUCUUCAAGUGAAUAUGGGCCGUUGGAUCAAACCGACAUAGGUUGUUUGGUUUAGAUUCAUCCUUUAGGUUGGUGGAUAUCUCCCACGAAGCAGAGUCCUGAUUGGACUCAGGGAGGGGGCGGGCGCCCUGCCUCUGGCCCCGUUUCGCCUCCGCUUUGGUCUCGUGGCUUCUGGAGUCUUCUAGAUGUAAGAUAAUUGCGCGGCACAUUAAUAUCUCUAUGUAAUCCCGACGUGUGGGCCUUUCUUCCUUAUUUCCUGAUAACCCCCUGCAGAAAUAGACAAACACCAAAACUCGUGGAAUUCUGUCAGAUAAAACCCUAAGUCUAGAUGUUGAUUUCAUUUGGAUCCUUUUCUUUAUUUAUUUGAUAAUUAAAUUUGAUACUUAAGGACCGUCAACAAACUCCCCCAAGCUUACCUCUUGCUCGUCCCUGAGCAAGGAUAGACUCAGCUAUGGAUCAUAAGUUGUUGCAAUAUUUAAAAAAUUGACGGUACACAUGAUUUUUAAAUAAGAUCUCAUCUCUGAGUUAGAGUAAACUGUCAAGACUUAAAACUUACUUACUUUACCUUCCACCAUGGGAGUUGUAACCGUCACUUCUGUCUUAAGAGGUUAAAAGAUAGAACAGUCUAGCCAAGUGCCAUGUCUCUUAUUCUUGAUCAGCUAUAGCUCUGGGGUUUUUUUGCAGAUUUUCAAAUAAAACUCAGAAUUCCUUGUAUGACUCUCUCAGAUCUCUCUUUUGUGGUAUUUCUGGAUCCUUACCAAGGCAGUGAUGGUAUAUGUCUUCUCUCAAGAUAUGUAGUAUUUGUGGUAUAAAGCACAGUGACAUUAUCUUAUCUUCUCACCCUACUCAAAUAAGGCUUUAAUAUCUGGAGCUCAUAGGUGGGAGAUAAAAUAUACAUACUUACAAGACAUUUAUUGCAUAGUCAAACUAUGGAUCCAAAGAAACAAAUCAUUAAGUUUAAUCAAGAUGUGCAUGUGUGGCGAAUGAAUGGUGUAUGGUGAUGAUGGUGAUAACAAUGGUGAAAACAAUAGUGGUGGAAGUCUAAUUCUACUUUGCUCUUUGAGGGGAUACAUACCUUCCUUGCUUUUUUGAAACUUUAUGAGGAGAAUGAGAUGCUCUUCUUUUUCUUUUCUCUUAGGUGGGUAUCUUGUACCCCUAAUUCUACUGUCGGACACUUGUCCAUUUCUACCUCUCGUCUCUCUUUUUCUUUUCUUUCGAGGUUCCGAGCACUUGCUCUUUUUUAUUUCCUCGUAUUUAUUUUAUUUAUUAUUUUUUUAGAGCACUCAUCUCUUGAGAUAAUAUAGCAAGUGGUAGUAACAAGAUAACUUGAGCAUUUAUUUCACAAGGGAAAAACAGAAAUAUGUUUUGGUUAUUCUCUCCCGGAUUAGGAGUACAAUAUUUUUGGGUGAUUCUGGAGAUGGAAUGGGUGGAUAUAUGUGGAUGGUACUUCCGGAGUAGAAGUAGCAUAUAUGAGUGAACGUGCAAGUGAAAUCUUGAUUUAACUACAUGACAAGCUCCUAAGGGUCUACACAGCUUGACCACACUCAAUGCUCAUAAGCAGUAAAUAGUAAAUGUGUGGCUCAAAGUCUAGCAAGCAUAUAUAUAUGGCUUUGGUAGGAAUUUAAACUCUCAUCGUACAGGAACUCAUCAUGCAACAUUUUAAAAGAUUUUCAAAGAUAAAAUUCUCUAGAAUUCUAGCAUCUCUAGGAACAAAUAAACAGCAGCUCAACCUUCCCAUAUCGUAUCCGUUAACAACUUAGACUUCAGAUCAAGUUUUCAUCCCACAAGUUUAGGUCUAGAGCAAGCUUUAAAUUAUAACAGUUAUGUCUAAACUUGAGAGAGAACUUCAAAUGUGCAAAUUAGGCAGAGCAACUAUUCAUCAUAUCCAUGCUUAAGUUUUAUUAUUAAGAUACAGAUUAGCAUAGCCACUUUAUUUAUUUAUUAAACACACUAAGCAAAAGACAUAUAUAUAAGCAUAAAAUCUUUAUUUGGUUUUUCCAUAGUUAUGUAUAUUUAUAUUCUAAAAUAAUGUAAGUAUAAAGAUAGAUAGAUAGAAAUACUUAUCGACAUAAAUGGGGGUGCUCUCCCCCAAGCUGAAUUUUGACGUAAUUUCUCUUGAUGUAGCUAGCAGGUGGCAGAAGUGUAUUUGAAAGUCAGCAGCAUUCUGACAGCGAUUAGAAUAUCCUCUGUCUGCUAGUCUUCUUGAAUUCUGUGGAGCUCAAAUAGACAAUAAAGCUUGUGGAACAGAUUAAGUGUUAGCAUAAAUAUCUAGCCUUUAUCAUGUUGAGACUCCUUAAUAAUUAUUACUCGCUGUUUUUAUAUUUUCAUUUUAUAAAGCAGAAAAGAAAUUUUUAUUUUAUUUUUAUGCCACCACAGUGAAUGUACUUAUGGGUUUUAUGCCACUCGUCUACUCACAUGGGGCUUACUGUUUUUCAUAUUUUUAUUCUCUUUUUAAGAUAGUAUGAACAUAAUUAAAUAAGUAAACUAUUUGAAAUAAUUAAAAGGGAAAGGAUAACUACCAAGUUUACCUCUUGGCAAGGCGUUCGGUGUUUUUAAGUCCUCCGAACGGGACUCCGUUUUCUCAAUUGUCCUGAGGUUCAUUGGGUGGCGUAGUCGGUACUUCCGGCAGCGCCUCCUCUUCUUGUAUAGUUAUCUUCAUUUUCCACACCUGACUUGGUGCUUCAGUCUCCUCUAGAUAAUUCUAUUUAAACUCUAUGUCUUCUGACCUUACAACUUCUCCUUCAUAGUCUGCCCAUCCGUCCUUGAUGAUUUGCCUCCUCUGGUUGCGGUUGCGUCAUUUCCUUACCUGCUUAGAUUCUUCAACGAUAUAGUUAGGGUCAGUAAAAUAACGGCGUACCUUCUCUGAGGGGAAGUGCAUAUGGACUUCUCCGGUUCCAAUGUAGAUAAUUGCUUUAGCGGUGCUGAGGAACAGUCUUCCAAGGAUGAUGGGUGGAUCAUACUCGUCUUCUCCCAUGUCAAUAACUUGAAAGUCUGUGUAGACAAAAUGAUCGUCUAUUUUGACUGGGACAUCAGUUACUAUUCCUUUAAAUUCUCGAAAUGUCUGAUCUGCCAUCUGGAGUUGAAUGUAUGUUGGCCUUAGGGGCAUGGUUCCUAACAAGAGCCGAUAGGUCACUGCGUCCAUUAUGUUGACACCCGAUCCGGUGUCACAAGUUGCCUUGUAGAAGUUGUAUCCAUUUAUGGAGCAGUAGAUGCUUGGCAUUCCUGGGUCGUCCUUCUUAGUCAAAAGCGGUGACUUAAGUUGGUGAUCUUGGCCUCCAUGAACUACAGUGACCAUCUUAGCUGACUCGGUCCACACUUGCAAGUUCAUGUUCCUCCUGUUGGUCCUCUUCCUUGAUUCACGUCUGGAUUGAUCUGGAAUUUGUGUAGUCUUGUUCUUGAAGAAAAAUGUCUCCUUCUUCCCUUUGACGUAGAAACUGAUCUUGGCAGCACUGGCGUAGAUGAUAGCUCCCGUGGUGUUCAUUAAUGGCCUCCCAAAGAUGAUAGGUGCCCUCUCAUCAUUUCCAGUCUCUACUACUACGAAGUCGGCUACAACAUAUAAGGUACCAACUCGGACACAAAGGUUCUUCAAUAUUCCUUUUGGAAAAGUUAUCGUCUGAUCUGCAAACUGCAAACACAUGGUUGUUUCUAAUAAAGGAUAUGUAAAUAAUUUUUCAUAGAGUACCCUGGGUAUAAUGUUGACACUGGAGCCAAAGUCACAGAGUGCUUCUGGGACGUCCACCAUGCCGAUGGAGAUCGGGAUGACGGGGCAUCCUGGAUCGCCUCUCUUGACCGGCAGAAGGUCAGUAGAGAAUUCGGUGACGGGGUUACUCCAAUUAUCACCUGCAUCAAACAUGUCUACAAGAUUUGUAGAUUCUAAUCCUUCCGGUUGUGAUGGUAUACCGGGGUUAGUAGUAGGAAUAGCAGCAGCUAUUUGAUUUAACUAAGAUUCAAUCAUUUUAUUAAAGCUAAUUUGAUUCUUGAUGGCAGUAGAGAAAUUAUCCAUUCUAUUAUUUGUAUUUUCUAGCAUUUUAUCAUUAGAUGCCAAUUUCUUAGAUAGGUUAUCCAUUAGCUUUCCUUGAUUAGACACUAACUCUCUCAGAGGUGGAAAAUUAUUAUUAUUGUUGUAAGAAUUGUUACCUUGAUAAUUACCUGAGUAGUUGGGCCUCUGUUGAUUCCAACCUUGAUUUUGUUGAGGACGGUUGUAGUAGUAGUUGUUGUUGUUGAUGUAGUUCACAUCCUCAAGUAUCUCAGGGCAGUGGUUGCCUGAGUGUCCAGUGUCUCCACACUUCUCACAAGUCAUGUGAGAGUCGUAGAUGUGCAUAACUUCCUUCUUAUCUCUAGCUCUAUCAUCGAGCUUAUUCAUGAGCAGGUCUAGCUUUGCAGACAGCAUGUCUACCUCCUUCAGCUGAUGCAUACCUCCACCUCUCUUGCGUGUCUAGGUCCUCUCUUCAUUCCAGCUUUGAUUGGACGCCAUCUUCUCCACAAGAGCUGUGGUUUGUGGUAUAGUAAGUGAUAAGAAUGCUCCUCCAGCUGCAGCAUCCAUGGUUUCUCGGGCACUAUUGCCGAGCCCAUGAUAAAACGUCUGCAUCAAUAGCCAACUCUCCAUUCCAUGAUGGGGACAUUCUUGGAUGUAGUCUUGAAAGCGCUCCCAUGUUUCUGGAACAGAUUCAUCAUUUUGUUGCUGAAAACUUGUAAUCUUCCCACGGAGAGCAUUGGUCUUGCCCAUGGGAAAGAACUUAGCCAGGAAGUUUGCUGAGCAGAGUGCCCACGUAGUAUUCUUCUCCUUUGUAGCGUAGAACCACUACUUCGCUCUCCCUAACAGUGAGAAUGGGAAGAGGCGAAGUAGUAUAGCAUCUUUGGAAACUCCUGACAUGGUAAAUGUGUUGCAAAUCUCUAGGAAGUGUUGUAAAUGAGCACUAGCAUCUUCGUGUGCCUUCCCACAGAACUGGUUGGAUUGCACCAUGUUGAUAAGUCCAGGCUUGAGCUCAAAGUUGCCGUCGAUCUCUGCAGCAGGUCCAGUGCGGAUGUUGUCCGUAGUGGGAGCUGAGAACUCGUGGAUUGAUUUGUUCGCCAUGGCUUCGAACUCUGAAGACAAGUUCCGGUGAUCUUCUUGAUUGGAUGAAGCUUCUUGCUGAAGUGUUGAUGAUCUCUUCUUGAGCUUGGCUCUCGUCUUCUUGAAUAAUGCUUCGGGAUUGUCAACAAAAUUUCCUAGAAAAUGUCUUCUAUUCAUACAUUCCCCUGCAUAAGAUAAAAUAGAAAAAUAUCAGGGUAAAACUGUAUGAGAGAAUAGCUAAGCUCAAUCAUAUUAGUGAUGCGAAUGUUAACUCAAAAUCUUUUAUUCCAUUCCUGAUUAGUAAUCAACCUUCCCCGGCAACGGCGCCAAAAAUUCUUGUUGGGUAUUCUUAACAUCAUUACCAAAAGUAGACUAAGUUCUCUAAAUCUAGUAACGGUGCCAAAAAUGUCAAACCUAUCCCUCACACCACCUAAGCCAAGUUGUCAUCCCCAGCAUGAUAUAAGAGACGCGGUACUGAAAUAUGCAAUUGCUCUUCUAAAUAAAUAAUGAAUGGGAUCUGCUAGCGCACAGAUUAAUACCGAUGCAGCAUUUUAACCGGGAAGUAUUCCAGGUAUCGUUAUUUAUAUUUUUACCACUGGGAAGGGAUUAGCAAUCAUCAAUAUUGAUUACAGAAUAGAAUAUGAGAUUGAGCAUCUAUCAUUGCAUGUAUAAUUGAGAACAUUAUAUCUAACUCUUCAUACAGGGAUAAGUGUCACAUAAAAGAUAUAUGAAAUAAUAAUAGUGACAAGGAUAACUAAUAUGAUCUAGCCACAUAAUAAAUAUGAUAAGCACCUCAAUUAGAUACUCUAGAAAGUCAUUAGCAUGGUAUUAGAACGAACUACAAGAAUAUUCCCUACGUUAUUCUCAACUAUGUAGUCUAGCAUUAUCAUAAUUAGUGCAAGCAUACUUAGCAAUCAUUGCGAGACAAGACUACGCGCAUGCAUAGUGAUAUUAGCAAGGAAUAUGAGAAACAUAGCAAUCCCUCCCCUGUAAUAAUGUUGCUCUGCCAGCCCAAUACACGAGAGGGGGACUAUAUAAGAAUCAAUGAAGCUGUCACUAUCACGAACCACCCCACGAUCUGGCAUAUUGGGUACAAUCGCAGAUAAAUACGGUAUAAGCACCAUGCCUACACAAUAUCUAUCAUUUACCCAUGGAUCCGAUGGAUAAACGCUAUACGAUCCUAAGCAUGUAUAUAGAUCCAAUCUAACUAAGCCAAGUACAUAACUAUGAUAAACUAAGAACAAUAUAAUCUUGAAUAUAAGCAAGUAGAGCAAAGUCAUAAGCAAUAUAUUGAAGUAGAACAAAGUCAUAUUCAUAAUAUUGAAGAACAAAGAUAAUUAGGAAGUAAUUAGAUGCACAAUUAGAGAAUUACCAAGAAUCCUCCUGACAGAUCCGGAAACCAAUCGAAGAUUGACUCCUUCUAGUUCUAAUCCUAUGUAGCUAUGCUAAGCUAGAUAUCUAAUUGAUGUGGUGGCUCUAAUCUUGAUCAGAGGCUUCUUCUCCCUUGAGGAACAAUGAAUUAGGGUUGAGAGGCUCCCUCCUCUAGGGGCCAGGGGGUCUGGUUUUAUAGUCCCUUCAAGUGAAUAUGGGCCGUUGGAUCAAACCGACAUAGAUUGUAUGGUUUAGAUUCAUCCUUUAGGUCGGUGGAGAUCUCCCACGAAGCAGAGUCCUGAUUGGACUCAGGGAGGGGGCGGGCGCCUAGGGCAGGAGGGCGAGCGCCCUGCCUCUGGCCCCGUUUCGCCUCCGCUUCGGUCUCGUGGCUUCUGGAGUCUUCUAGAUGUAAGAUAAUUGCGCGGCACGUUAAUAUCUCUAUGUAAUCCCGACGUGUGGGCCUUUCUUCCUUAUUUCCUGAUAACCCCCUGCAGAAAUAGACAAACACCAAAACUCGUGGAAUUCUGUCAGAUAAAACCCUAAGUCGAGAUGUUGGUUUCAUUUGGAUCCUUUUCUUUAUUUAUUUUUAAUUAAAUUUGAUACUUAAGGACCGUCAACAUUUACCCCGAUAUUUUUCUAUUUUAUCUUAUGCAGGGGAAUGUAUGAAUAAAAGACAUCUUCCUGGAAAUUUUGUUGACUAUCUCGAAGCAUUAUUCAAGAAGACGAGAGCCAAGCUCAAGAAGAGAUCAUCAACACUUCAGCAAGAAGCUUCAUCCAAUCAAGAAGAUCACCGGAACUUGUCUUCAGAGUUCGAGGCCAUGGCGAACAAAUCAAUCCGCGAGUUCUCAGCUCCCACUACGGACAACAUCCGCACUGGACCUGCUGCAGAGAUCGACGGCAACUUUGAGCUCAAGCCUGGACUUAUCAACAUGGUGCAAUCCAACCAGUUCUGUGGGAAGGCACACAAAGAUGCUAAUGCUCAUCUACAACACUUCCUGGAGAUUUGCAACACAUUCACCAUAUUAGGAGUUUCCAAAGAUGCUAUACUACUUCGCCUCUUCCCAUUCUCACUGUUAGGAAGAGCGAAGCAGUGGUUCUACGCUACAAAGGAGAAGAAUACUACGUGCGCACUCUGCUCAACAAACUUCCUGGCUAGGAUCUUUCGCAUGGGCAAGACCAAUGCUCUCCGUGGGAAGAUUACAAGUCUUCAGCAACAAAAUGAUGAAUCUGUUCCAGAAGCAUGGGAGCGCUUUGAAGACUACAUCCUAGAAUGUCCCCAUCAUGGAAUGGAGAGUUAGCUAUUGAUGCAGACAUUUUAUCAUGGACUCGGCAACAGUGCCCGAGAGACCAUGGAUGCUGCAGCUGGGGGAGCAUUCCUAUCACUUACUAUAUCGCAAGCCACAGCUCUUGUGGAGAAGAUGGUGUCCAACCAAAGCUGGAAUGAAGAGAGGACCCAGACACGCAAGAGAGGUGGAGGUAUGCAUCAGCUCAAGGAGGUAGACAUGCUGUCUGCAAAGCUAGACCUGCUCAUGAAGAAGCUCGACGAUAGAGCUGGAGAUAAGAAAGAAGUGAUGCACAUCUACGACUCCCACAUGACUUGUGAGGAGUGUGGAGACACUGGACACUCAGGCAACCACUGCCCUAAGAUGCUUGAGGAUGUGAACUACAUCAACAACAACAACAAAAACUACUACAACCGUCCUCAACAAAAUCAAGGUUGGAAUCAACAGAGGCCUAACUAUUUAGGUAAUUAUCAAGGUAACAAUUCUUACAACAAUAAUAAUAAUUUUCCACCUCUGAGAGAGUUAGUGUCUAAUCAAGGAAGGCUAAUGGAUAACCUAUCUAAGAAAUUGGCAUCUAAUGAUAAAAUGCUAGAAAAUAUAAAUAAUAGAAUGGAUAAUUUCUCUACUGCCAUCAAGAAUCAAAUUAGCUUUAAUAAAAUGAUUGAAUCUCAGUUAAAUCAAAUAGCUGCUGCUGUUCCUGCUACUAACCCCGGUAUACCAUCACAACCGGAAGGAUUAGAAUCUACAAAUCUUGUAGACAUGUUUGAUGCAGGUAAUAACUGGAGUAACCCCGUCACUGAAUUCACUACUGACCUUCUGCCGAUCAAGAGAGGCGAUCCAGGACGCCCCGUCAUCCCGAUCUCCAUCGGCAUGGUGGACGUUCCAGAAGCACUCUGCGACUUUGGCUCCAGCGUCAACAUUAUACCCAGGGUACUCUAUGAAAAAUUCUUUACAUAUCCUUUAUUAGAGACAACCAUGUGUUUGCAGUUUGCAGAUCAGACGAUAACUUUUCCAAAAGGAAUAUUGAAGAACCUUUGUGUCCAAGUUGGUACCUUAUAUGCCCUAGCAGACUUCGUAGUGGUAGAGACCGGAAAUGAUGAGAGAGCACCUAUCAUCCUAGGGAGGCCAUUCUUGAACACCACGGGAGCUAUCAUCUACGCUAGUGCUGCCAAGAUCAGUUUCUACAUCAAAGGGAGGAAGGAGACAUUUUUCUUUAGGAACAAGACUACACAAAUUCCAGAUCAAUCCAGACGUGAAUCAAGGAAGAGGACCAACAGGAGGAACAGGAACAAGCAAGUGUGGACCGAGUCAGUUAAGAUGGUCACUACAAUUCAUGGUGGCCAAGAUCAUCAACUCAAGUCACCGUUUUUGACCAAGAAGGACAACCCAGGAAUGCCAAGCAUCUACUGCUCCAUAAAUGGAUACAACUUCUACAAGGCAACUUGUGACACCGGAUCGGGCAUCAACAUAAUGGCCGCAGUCACCUAUCGGCUCUUGUUCGGAACCAUGCCACUAAGACCAACAUACAUUCAGCUCCAGAUGGCAGAUCAGACAUUUUGAGAAGUUAAAGGAACAGUAACUGAUGUCCCUGUCAAAAUAGACGAUCAUUUUGUCUACACAGACUUUCAAGUUAUUGACAUGGGAGAAGAUGAAUAUGAUCCACCCAUCAUCCUUGGUAGACCGUUCCUCAGCACCAUUAAAGCAAUCAUGUACAUUGGAACCGGAGAAGCCCAUAUGCACUUCCCCUCAGAGAAGGUACGCCGUUAUUUUACUGACCCUAACUAUAUCGUUGAAGAAUCUAAGCAGGUCAGAAAACGACACAACCACAACCAGAGGAGGCAGAUCAUCAAGGACGGAUGGGCAGACUACGAAGGAGAAGUUGUAAGGUCAGAAGACGUAGAGUUUAAACAUAAUUAUCUAGAGGAGAUUGAAGCACCGAGUUGAGGUAUGGAAAAUGAAGAUAACUAUACAUGAAGAGGAGGCUCUGCCGGAAGUACCGACUACACCACCCAACGAACCUCAGGACAAUUGAGAAAAUGGAGAGUCCCGUUCGGAGGACUUAAAAACACCGAACGCCUUGCCAAGAGGUAAACUUGGUAGUUAUCCUUUCCCUUUCAAUUAUUUCAAAUAGUUUACUUAGUUAGUCAUAUUCGUACUAUCCUAAAAAGAAAAUAAAAAUAUGAAAAACAGUAAGCCCCAUGUGAGUAUGCGAGUGGCAUAAAACCCAUAAGUACAUUCACUGUUAUGGCAUAAAAAUAAAAUAAAAUAAAAAUUUCUUUUCUGCUUUAUAAAAAUGAAAAUAUAAAAACAGGGAGUAACGUUUAUUAAGGAGUCUCAAUAUGAUAAAGUCUAGAUAUUUAUGCUAACACUUAACCAGUUCCACAAGCUUUGUUGUCUAUUUGAGCUCCACAGAAUUUAAGAAUCAAGAAGACUAGCAGACGGAGGACAUUCUAAUCGCUGUCAGAAUGCUGCUGACUUUCAAAUACACCUCUGCCACCUGCUAGCUACAUCAAGAGAAAUUACGUCAAAAUUUAGCUUGGGGGAGAGCACCCCCAUUUAUCUCGAUAAGUAUUUCUAUCUAUCUAUCUUUAUACUUAUAUUAUUCUAGAAUUUAAAUAUAUAUAACUAUAGAAAACCAAAUAAAGAUUUUGUGCUUAUAUAUAUCUUUUGCUUAGUGUGUUUAAUAAAUAAAUAAAGUAGCUAUGCUAAUCUGUAUCUAAAUCAAGCAUGGAUAUGAUGAAUAGUUGCUCUGCCUAAUUUGCAAAUUUUAAGUUCUCUCUCAAGUUUAGACAUAACUGUUAUAAUUUAAGGCUUGCUCUAGACCUAAACUUGUGAGAUGAAAACUUGAUCUGAAGUCUAAGUUGUUAACGGAUACGAUAUGGGAAGGUUGAGCUGCUAUUUAUCUAUUCCUAGAGAUGCUAGAAUACUGGAGAAUUUUAUCUUUGAAAAUCUUUAAAAUGUUGGAUGAUGAGUUCCUAUAUGAUGAGAGUUUAAAUUCCUACCACAGCCAUAUAUACAUGCUUGCUAGACUUUGAGCCACACAUUUACUAUUUACUGCUUAUGAGCAUUGGGUGUGGUCAAGCUGUGUAGACCCUUAGGAGCUUGUCAUGUGGUUAAAUCAAGAUUUCACUUGCACGUUCACUCAUAUAUGCUACUUAUUCUCCGGAAGUACCAUCCACAUAUAUCCACCCAUUUUCAUCUCCAGAACCACCCAAAAAUAUUCUACUCCUAAUCCGGGAGAGAAUGACAAAAAAUAUUUCUGUUUUUCCCUUGUGAAAUAAAUGCUCAAGUUAUCUUGUUACUACCACUUGCUAUAUUAUCUCAAGAGAUGAGUGCUCUAAGAAAAAAAAAGAGAGAAUAUAUACCCACAAGUGUCCGACAGUAGAAUUAAGAGAUGAGUGCUCGGAACCUCGAAAGAAAAGAAAAAAAGUGAGACGAGAGGUAAAAAUGGACAAGUGUCCGACAGUAGAAUUAGGGGUACAAGAUACCCACCUGAGAGAAAAGAAAAAAAAAGAGAAAAGCAUCUCAUUCUCCUCAUAAAGUUUCAAAAAGCAAGGAAGGUAUGUAUCCUCUCAAAAGAGCAAAGUAGAAUUAGACUUCCACCACCAUUGUUUCUACCAUUGUUUUUACCAUUGUUAUCACCAUCAUCACCAUACACCAUUCAUUCGCCACACAUGCACAUCUUGAUUUGGCUUAUUGAUUUGUUACUUUGGAUCCAUGGUUUGACUAUGCAAUACAUGUCUUGUAAGUAUGUAUACUUUAUCUCCCACCUAUGAGCCCCAGAUAUUAAAGCCUUAUUAGAGUAGGGUGAGAGAGAAGACAAUGUCACUAUGCUUUAUACCACAAAUACUACAUAUCUUGAGAGAAGGCAUAUACCAUCACUGCCUUGGUAAGGAUCUAGAAAUACCACAAAAGAGAGAUCUGAGAGAGUCAUACAAGGAAUCUCUGAUUUUUAUUUGAAAAUCUGCAAAAACCCCAGAGUUAUAGCUGAUCAAGAAUAAGAGACAUGGCACUUGACUAGACUGUUCUAUCUUUUAACUACUAAAGACAGAAGUGAAGGUUACAAGUCCCAUGGUGAAGGUAAAGUAAGUAAGUUUUAAGUCUUGACAGUUUACUCUAACUCAGAGAUGAGAUCUUAUUUAAAAAGCAUGUGUACCGUC